UUCUGUCUUUUUAUUCCUGUGGGUCUGUCGUGUUACCCAUCCGUGAGCCUCCAUCGCAUCCAUCUGAAGACUGAGCAGAGCCCUUUGGACAUGGUGAUCUGGGGUUGGCAGAGAUAGAAAUGAAUGUACCGUUGACAGUGGUGGCUGUCAGAACCAAUGCUGUAAUACAGUUGGGCAUUAUCACUGCAAGUGUCAAGCUGGCCGGAAGCUGGAGGAAGAUGGCAGAGGAUGUGAAGUGGGAAGAUCUGUAAUUUAUUUACAGCAAACAUCAGGCUAUGGAGACCUCAGGUCCAGUGUGCAGUGAUGGGUGUUCACUUGUGAAUUGGAGCAUUCUUCUU